GUGGGGAAUCUUGCGCAAUGGGCGAAAGCCUGACGCAGCAACGCCGCGUGCGGGAUGAAGGCCUUCGGGUUGUAAACCGCUUUCAGCAGGGACGAAAAUGACGGUACCUGCAGAAGAAGCUCCGGCUAACUACGUGCCAGCAGCCGCGGUAAUACGUAGGGAGCAAGCGUUGUCCGGAUUUAUUGGGCGUAAAGAGCUCGUAGGCGGUUUCGUAAGUCGAGUGUGAAAAAUCUGGGCUUAACCCAGUGGAGCACUCGAUACUGCGAUGACUUGAGUCUGGUAGAGGAGUGUGGAAUUCCUGGUGUAGCGGUGAAAUGCGCAGAUAUCAGGAGGAACACCAACGGCGAAGGCAGCACUCUGGGCCAGUACUGACGCUGAGGAGCGAAAGCGUGGGAAGCAAACAGGAUUAGAUACCCCGGUAGUCC
rnacentral:rRNA from 1 species